GGGACUUCAACAAAUUCAGUAACAGUUAAUUUCACAUCCACCCGGGAGACAUGGGAGAGGACACAAUUCUACAGCAGGUCAGCUGCUCUGAGGGGCAACAAGCUACUUCAUGGAAAGUCACAUUUGAGAUCCAAGUAACUGAGGACUAGGAGUGACUUUUAAGAAAGGAGUCUAGACUCCUACCCACCAAGGCCCAGAAUCCACAAGCAGCCUCCAUACACCUGCUACCAUCCCCCACCACAUCUGUAACCACGUACGCCUUGGCCUGGACUGCCCCUGAAGAGGGGCAUCCUUGUCCUCAUCUGGAGUUGGCUGGUCCUGAGAGUGCUACUGUUCUUGGACUCCACAGAUGCUCAAGAGGGACGUUAAGCACCAUAUCUUCACUCUGUAUCUUCAGCCAAAGUGAGACUAAUGUCUGCAAAGAGCUAUCAUUUGGGAUGCAGAAAUCUCACAUGGGAUCAGAAUGAGUGCACCAAGUGCUAGUGAACAAUCAGGAGUCACUAAGACUCCAGAUUUCAUUUUCAGAGUGCAAUAUAACAGAAUAAGCUUUUACGCUUGGAAAUGAUAGAUAAAAUACGAUUUCAUUUUGUCAUUGCUUGACUAAGAAAAAGAAUUUCCCUGAAAACCCUUUCCUCAUUUUAUCCAUAUUCGAUUAUUUCUAUAAUCUGUGAUUCUGGUCUGUACACAAGAUAUAGGGAAAAGGAUGUCUUGGAAUGGCAAAAUCAAGGACAUCCUAGAACUGUGUGUGGUAAAACACAUUGAGUUAAAAUUUUAUAUUUAGCUCCAGAAUUUGGUGGGUAUAAGCUGGGACUUCCAGUCUUAGAGGCCAAUGUAACAACCAAAAAUAUAACUGCAAAUUGAGUGUUAAAUAAACUUUAGGGCUCCUGUGGGUGUUACAGAUGGGAUAAAGAAUUAGUUGAAAUGGGUUUACUGAGGAUAGCAUGAUGUUUUGGGAAGGCAGCCAUGGGAAGCCUUAUGUAGUUUCUGGGUUAUGUCUGACCUUUGGCCCCAUCCUUCUCUUGGUCUUGAGUCAGAAUUGAUACCUACUGCCAGGCUGUGGUCUGGUCAACAAUCCUAAGUUUUGGAAUGGACCUUCGAGCUCACCUUGUUGUGUACUUAUGAUCUUCAUUCCAGGAUUCCUCUCUGUCUCUAGGUCCAGAUCACAGAAAUGUACUCACACACUGUGAUGGCAAGCUGCUGUAUGCAGCUCCUAGAAUGGGACAAAUUAGCAAAGGUCAGAAGAUUUACUCUCAUGUUUUGGACUCCUGGGAACACCCCUAGUUUUUCCUCUGUGACUGCCACUUUUUAAGGCAGGCAAGUGUGGCAAAUUAGGUCUGAUUAAAAGCACAUUUCUUACUUUUCCAGAGAACACUUAUUCAGCAUCUUCUGUAUGCCAGUCAUUAUUCUAAGAUACAGACGUACAGAGUUAUGCUUAUGCCAUUGAUUGCCAGAAGGGAGGUUUGCCACGAAACCAAAUAGUCAUGUUGCAGUCAAGUUCACUAGAGACUUUGGAGAAACAAAGACCUUUAUAGAAAAAGAGCAUUUCAUGUGGGUCUUAAAUGACUGUACUUCAUUGAGAAUCAGCAGGAGCCUGUUGGAGGCAUUGCAGCAGAUAGAGAACUGUAACUGGGUAAACACCUUAGGAAAUUAGGGGAAAGAUUUAGUAGCCAACUUGACAGUAUCCUGUAGGUAGAAUUUUCUCUCCCGUCAGCCAGUUCCCAAAUAACCACACAGAGAGUUCUUAUUAAUUAUAAAUACACAACCAAUAGCUUAAGCUUGUUAUUAACUAGCUCUUACAACUUAAAUCAACACAUAUUUUUAUCUACAUUCUACCAUGUGGUUCAGUACCUUUCCUCAGUGUGGCAUGUUCAUCUUACCUCUCCCUGUGUCUCCUGGUGAUUCUGCCCUUCUUGAUUCCAGAGCUCUCUACCUGUCCACAAAUCCUGCCUAACCUCUUUCUGCCUAGCUACUGGCCACUUGACUAUUAAACCAAUGAGAGCCACACAUCUCCACAGUAUACAAAAGAGUAUUUUACAAGACUAUCCCAUGAAUUUGACAGUUUUAUUUCUUUCCAAUGAGAUACUACAAUAUCAUUUCACUUCAGAAUCAGGGGCUACCAUCCUUUGGCCAGGACUUCCCUUUUCUAAUGAUAAAUGGGAUAAUAUCUUAUUUUUCUCUUAAAAAAACUUCAUCCCUAUUUACAUCAUUGCUCAUUUUUAGGAUAAAUUUACUCCCACACAUGCUCCAAAUGUGAUCUUCGUGACUCAAGUGAAUACUAUAUUCAAUUAACCAAUUCCUAUAAGGUUGCUAAGUCUGAAUCAGACAGCACAAAUUUCUUUGAUUUCCACCCUGUUCAUUUCUCCCUCAUCCCACUCCCUCUCUGAAUGAAGCUCUGUGAAAGAAGAAGAAAAAAUAAUUGAGAAUCCAAUGCCAUGAAGUACUCCAAAUUAUGUCAUAAGAGAAAAAGCAAGGCUCUGUGAGGUUCAGUGUCACAUUUGUAAUACUUGCAUAUAAUAUUCUUUGAUCAAAUCUAUCUCAGCACAUUUUGUUAUCACCCACUUUUUCUUAUUUUUCUCUUCCUAUUUUUUAAUAUUUCUCCUUUCAACUUUGGAGGUGUAUUUUCUUUUAUCACUACAACAUACAACAGAAUAUCUAAGAUACCCAUUUUUCUGAGUCUGUAUUAUUCUAGUUAACAUGAUACUUCUGGUUCUACUCAUAAUCUUGUAAGUGACAUAAAGUUGUAGUCUUUGUUGUUUUAUAAAUUUAUUUUGUUUAUUAUUACUCUGUGUAUAUAUGCUGUUAUAUAUGAAUGACUGUAGACAUUUGUGCAUGCCAGUCUUCAUAUAAAAGUGAGAGAACAAGUUUCAGGAGUUGGAGUUCUCCUACCGAGGGAUCUGAAUAUAGAACUCAAGUGGUCAGCUUGCUCAGCAAGUGUUUUUACACACUGAGCCAUCUUAUUUGAUUCUUCCUAAUAGUUGAAUAAUCAUUCUUGGGUAUGCAUAUCACAUUUUCUCUACCUAUUCAUAGACUGACGGAUGCCUAGGUGGAUUUUAUUACUUAUCUAUAUUUGGACAAGGCUGUAAUAAACAUAGACAUAUAGAGUUUCUUAUAUAUCCUGACUCUGAUACCAAUAAGUAAACAAUCCAAGAGUGGUAAAGCUGGACAAUGUUUGAGUUAUAUUUUAUCUUUUUGAGCAACCAGCUUGCUCAUUUUCAUAGUGGUUUUGCUCAUUCACAUUCCUACCAUCAUUGUAUAAAGCCAAUCUCCAACCUUGCUAACAUCUGCGUUGUGUAUUCUCCUGAUGAUUGCAAUUCUAAUGUUAGUGAGUUGAAAUGUCAGUAUAGUUUUGAUUUACAUUUUUCUUCUAGUUAAAGAUGUUAGACAUUUUUCAUACAAUAACUCAUCAUUCAUAUUAUCUUGAGAACAUCUGUUUCACCCGUCUGCACACUUAUUGGCUAGAUUGCUUCCUUUAUUCCCAGUGGUAACUGUUCAGAGUUCUUUGUGCAUUCUGGAUGCUGUCAUAUGAUUAGCUGGCGAUGGUUUUCUUGGAUUCUGCAGUCAUCUUCUCUCUGUGCUGGUUUUGUCCUUCAGGAUUCAGAAGCUUCAAUUUGAUGUUAACCCUUUUGUCAGCUUUUGAUAUUGUUUCCUGAACUAAUUGAGUCUCAUUCUGGAAGCUCUAGCCUUUGCCUAUGUCUUAAAAUGUUUCCCCUCUGUUUUCUUUUAGUAGCUCAAGUUUCAUAGUAUGAUCUGUGAUCACUUUUUAAUUGAUUCCUAAACAGGGUCACAGAUAGGGAUCUAGUCUACUCUUUUACAUGUGCUAUUUGGCUUUCACAGUAUCUCUUAUCAUAAAAUCUAUAUUUUUUUUCCAAAUUGAGAGUUUGACACUUCUGCUGAGGAUCAAAUAGCCUAGAUAUGGGGGUUCAUUUCUGGAUAUUCCAUUCUGUUUCUCUAAUGUUUUUAUGCCAGUACCACUUCUGUUUAUAUUACUAUGGCUCUGAAAUAAUAUAUUUUGAUAUCAUGCAUGGUCAUACCCACAACAUUGAUUUUUUUAUACUACCAUAUAAAUUUUAAAGUAUGUUUAUUUAUUUACCUGAAGAAUAUUAUUCACAUUUUGUGGGGGAUUAUAUUAAAUCUCCAGGUUGCAUCUAACAAAAUAGCCAUUUUCACAUUAUUAAUUUACCUAUCCAUGAGCAUGGGCUCUUUCAGUGUCUUCUUUAAUUUCUCUCAUUGUACAUCAUAAUUUUCAUUACAAAGAGGUUUUCAACUUCUUCGAUAAGUCUGAUGUGUUUUUGGAAGAUAUCAUGAAGUGGAUAUUUUUAUUUCUUUCUCAGCAAGAUCAUGAUCAAUGCAUGAAGACGCUAAUAGAAUGUAUACAUUAACUUAGUAUCCUGUUGCUUUGAUGAACUUCUCAGCCAGAUUAAAAUGUCUUCUGUGUUAUUAAGUAUAGAAUCAUAUCAUCUGUUAGCUAGAAUAAUUUGACAUUUCCCUUCCCUGAUCGUAUACUUUUUAUUCAUUCUCAUAUCUUAUUGUUAUGGCUAAAAUUUCAAGUACCAUAUGGAAUAGAAGUGGUAAUAAUUUUAAAGCAAAUAUUUUCAGGAUUUUCCUGAUUCAUUAGGGUGUUGGUACUUGUUAUGUAGAUUUUAUUAUGUUAUCUUUUUAUUUCCAGCUUAUCUAUUGGUGAGAGUGGCACAGUGAUGUAAAUCAUAUGCAUUGUAUUUAGGUCUACUUUUUUAAUGCCCAAUGGAAUUCAUUUUAUAUUAUUUCAUUCUUUGACUUCUGAGUGAUACGUAACAUAUACAUGUACUUAUGAGUAUGUACAUAUAUAUAUAAUUUAUGCUUAUAAUUGUCAUAAGUUCUUGAUGGUACAUUCUCUUUAAAAACAUUUACUGGAUCGUUUUGUGCCUUCUGUUUAUUUUGCUUUGAGGUUUAUUUUGUCAUAUAUGAGUAUAGUGAGCACUGCAUGAUUUGACAGUCUAGUUCUCUAAAAUAUUAUUUUGUACCAUUACCCUUUCAUUUUCAGCCCAUAUGUGUUCUGGGUGGUGAUAUGGAUUUCUUACGGCAGCACAAAGUUAGGCUCUGUUUUAAAUGUCAAGAAUUAGUCUGGAUCUUUUGUUUUUUUUAAUGUCAAAAAUAGAUUCUUCUUAAGCAAUAUAUUUUGGUUAUG